UGAACGCUGGCGGCAGGCCUAACACAUGCAAGUCGAGCGGUAACAGGGGAAGCUUGCUUCCCGCUGACGAGCGGCGGACGGGUGAGUAAUGUAUGGGGAUCUGCCCGAUAGAGGGGGAUAACCACUGGAAACGGUGGCUAAUACCGCAUAAUCUCUUAGGAGCAAAGCAGGGGAACUUCGGUCCUUGCGCUAUCGGAUGAACCCAUAUGGGAUUAGCUAGUAGGUGGGGUAAUGGCUCACCUAGGCGACGAUCCCUAGCUGGUCUGAGAGGAUGAUCAGCCACACUGGGACUGAGACACGGCCCAGACUCCUACGGGAGGCAGCAGUGGGGAAUAUUGCACAAUGGGCGCAAGCCUGAUGCAGCCAUGCCGCGUGUAUGAAGAAGGCCUUAGGGUUGUAAAGUACUUUCAGUCGGGAGGAAGGCGUUGAUGCUAAUAUCAUCAACGAUUGACGUUACCGACAGAAGAAGCACCGGCUAACUCCGUGCCAGCAGCCGCGGUAAUACGGAGGGUGCAAGUGUUAAUCGGAAUUACUGGGCGUAAAGCGCACGCAGGCGGUUGAUUAAGUUAGAUGUGAAAUCCCCGGGCUUAACCUGGGAAUGGCAUCUAAGACUGGUCAGCUAGAGUCUUGUAGAGGGGGGUAGAAUUCCAUGUGUAGCGGUGAAAUGCGUAGAGAUGUGGAGGAAUACCGGUGGCGAAGGCGGCCCCCUGGACAAAGACUGACGCUCAGGUGCGA
rnacentral:rRNA from 1 species